GUCAAGCUACAAAGGGCUCACGGAGGAUACCUAGGCACACAGAGGCGAUGAACACGUGGUUACCUGCGAUAGUCUCGGGGAGUUGGAAGCACACUUUGAUCCGGGAAUUUCCGAUGGGGCAACCCCAUGUACGCACUGAUAUAUAGUGUGCGAGCUACCCAGCGACUGAACAUCUAGU
rnacentral:rRNA from 1 species